CUCCAGGCUGAGGGGAAGCCUCCGCUGGCCAGACACACCUGUGUGGCACUGCCCUGCUGCAACUUUUUGUAUAAUAUAAAAAUCUCUGGUACUUUAAAUCAACGACCAACUCCAAAAGUCCACCGCAGUGAUACAAAGUCAUUAAGUGGCUGUACAAAAACCUCCUGCACUGUCAACAAGCAUCUAUCCACUGAAAACAAUCUCUGCUUAUUCUGAUAUAAAAUAUAUAUUUCUCCUGAUUCAGUGUCCCACGUUGCCUUCAGUGUGUUGAGAGCAGAGAAGUCAUUUCCAUAGAGAGGAGGCUUUGCAUGGUCAGCUGAUCCUUCAGUGAACUGAGAAGGUUUAUAGUCCUGUGAGUUCAACACUGCAGGACUCAGAUCUGUCAGUCAACACAGCAGAAAGCACAACCACCAUGACUCUCAUCACCAUCCUCAUCUGGACGCUGGCCUGCUGCUGUUUUACAGGAUGCAGCAGUCAGGUGACUGUGACUCAGCCUCCAGUACUGACAACUACUCCAGGAUCCACCGUCACUCUGACCUGUAAAACCAGCCAAGAUGUUGAUGCAGACUGUGUUGGUUCUGUUGGUGAAGAUGGUGAUGUUACUUUUGCUGCUGCUGAGUGUCUGCACUGGUAUCAACAGAAAUCUGGACAGACUCCAAAGCUCCUAAUAAACUCUGUAAGCACACGUGAAUCAGGAACACCAGCUCGGUUUAGUGGCAGUGGAAGCGGCUCUGACUUCACUUUGACCAUCAGUGGAGUUCAGGCUGAAGAUGCAGCAGUUUACUACUGUCAGAGUCUACAUGAAAUAAACAGUGCCUAUGUGUUCACACAGUGAUUUGUAGUCGUACAAAAACCUCCUUCAGUCAGACUGCAGAGACACUGAGCUGUUACAGCAGGAACUGACUGCAGCUGCUGAAGAAGAAGAGACUCUGACACAGACCACUGAACACAGAGCUCACACUAACCUCACCAAGCACCAAACAUGCACACACUUUGCAGUUUCUUAGGUUCACCUAAAAGAGUUUUAUAUGCAAUCUAAUUAAACAGUCCUACAAUAAAUCCAACCUUCAUGAAGGUUAAAAUGUUCAGUUUGUUACGUUAGGAUUUAAAUUUGUUUUGGAACCUCUGAGCAGACACAGACAACAGUUGAAGGUUAAGGUUAAGUUGUUCUUUUACUGAAUAUUUUGAGAGUCUUGAGUGGGGGCAAGAGAGGAGAAUGAAGAGGGACUGGAGGACCAGGAGACCUGCAGCAGCCAGGUGAGGGUGGAGGCCUGGGCGUGGUGAUGAGCAGGUGAGUGGAAGGCAGCAG